rnacentral:lncRNA from 1 species
GUCUUUGUUCAUGACACAUAUUAUGAAAUACAAAGGAGUUGAAAUGAUCAAAUACUUUCGAACUGACGGAAACAAAAAUACAUAAUCUAGAAUGUGUGUUCUGUCAUAAACAAUGGCUUCGUCGUGCGAAUCGACGAGAUCAUGUUACAUGUAACUGAUCUUAGCUGUAGAAACAGUUGGUGCGACCUCGAUAAAAUCUUUAUCAAUUUAAUAUAAGCGACAAGUAUUAGCCUUUCCAAAAGGGCUAGUCGUCUCCUAGCUGAUGAAAAUGGAAAGUGCUCUCGCUUUGUAGGUUAAUUCAUUUACUAGAAUAGCCACGUGCAUCAAUCAACAAAUUUUACCACACAC